rnacentral:sRNA from 2 species
AACAAUGAUUUCUAGGGUUCCGUAGCAUGUUGCUAGCCUGGUCCGAGAGAAAUCUCAUAGCUAUAUUGCUAUGCCACGGAAGGAUAAAAGCCUGGGAGAC